rnacentral:rRNA from 1 species
ACAUGUCCGGACGAUUUCCAGAGAUGGAUCUCUCCCUUCGGGACUGGAACACAGGUGCUGCAUGGCUGUCGUCAGCUCGUGUCGUGAGAUGUUGGGUUAAGUCCCGNAACGAGCGCAACCCUCGCCUUUAGUUACCAUCAUUUAGUUGGGUACUCUAAAGGAACCGCCGGUGAUAAGCCGGAGGAAGGUGGGGAUGACGUCAAGUCCUCAUGGCCCUUACGCGCUGGGCUACACACGUGCUACAAUGGCAACUACAGUGGGCAGCGACCCUGCGAGGGCGAGCUAAUCCCCAAAAGUUGUCUCAGUUCGGAUUGUUCUCUGCAACUCGAGAGCAUGAAGGCGGAAUCGCUAGUAAUCGCGGAUCAGCAUGCCGCGGUGAAUACGUUCCCAGGCCUUGUACACACCGCCCGUCACACCAUGGGAGUUGGAUUCACCCGAAGGCGUUGCGCCAACCCGCAAGGGAAGCAGGCGACCACGGUGGGUUCAGCGACUGGGGUGAAGUCGUAACAAGGUAAGCGUACGUGU